AACAAGCUCGAACAGUUGUAAAAUAUCUUAAAGAAAUUGCAUAUACAUACUUCAAACAAAUUUCAACUUUGAGGAAAGAGACUACGUCAAAGAGUUUCGAGAAACAAUUCUAGCUCAUAAUCCAUAAACACGCAGGAAACAUCGCAAUUCAGAAAUACCAAAGACUAUCUACCUGAAAUACCAAAAUAAAAUCCAAAAUCAAAAGAAAUAUGAAAAUAAAUAUGAAAUACACGCGCAUACGUGAGAAUGAGCACUGAGAAAGUUUCACGCCCUCAUGAAGAACAACCAGCAGAAAGCAAAACGGUAUCGAACCGACGAUAUACACACGGGGAGAGAUCUCGAUGAUAAAAAUAGAUUCUGAAACGGGCGUGAGGACCCUUUCGUCGGGUCUAAGUGCGUAAGUGGCGUGUGGAGUGGUUGACCAGUUGGUCGGAAGUGCACUCGCUGGAUGGGACGUCAGCACGAAUCGUGACGAAAGGAUGCAACGCCGAUUGGAUGAGAGAGACAGAGAGAGAAACUUUAGCAAACGAGCGAGAGCGAGAUAGUCGACCGAUAUUACAUAGAGGUCAUGGAGGGCCAGAGGGAGGGGAGGUUUUCCUUUUUAAAAGAAACGGGACACGCCGUGAUAUAAUCGCGUAAUCGUUGCGUCGAGAGAAGUCAAAGGCACGAAGCGUGCACACGAUCGUUUCGGCUCCGGUUUGACUCGUGAUUCCGGCUCUUCUUCCUUUCUUCUUCGCUCCAUACGUCCCAACGAGGGAAGAACGAAAGGAAGACAAAGAUAGAAAAAGAAUGUCUGUAAAGCACAGCCGUCGUAUUGCUCCUUGCGAGUCGUGCCUCAACUUUCACUUUGAUCUGUUACGCCUCGACAAUAUCCCGCUUCGUCUCCUCCCCACCAUUCUGUCCGUGCAUCCCCACCUCUACACCUAUCAAAGCGUCGCGUCGUCGUCGCGUCGUGUCGAUCCUGUUCUGAUUCCUACGUUGCGAGGAUACAAGGUAACGAGACGUAUAAACGCUGCACAACUGUACGGUCACCGAUAGACGAUAGGCCGAUAGGGGGCUAACUGUCACUACUCCGUGAUAUGACGUCAUGGACGUCGUGCAAUCGAUAGCAAGACGAAAGGGAUGCAGGAUGCAGGUGUGCAGCGAGAUGCACAUUCAAGCGAGAUAUACCGUCGGUCGUAAAUAGACCGGAGAUAUUCGCUUAUUUAUGGGAAACUUAAAGACGCAAAAAUAUACAGAAUGCAGAUAAUAUGUGAAAGUACAUAGUAUAUCCAGAUAGAUUAUUGAUCAUAAUACUUGGUAGUAAAUGUUUGAAAAUGAUAGAUAUGACAUUGUGACCAGACUAGCGCUGCAUUAACCGUGCUAAGACUAGGAUUUUGCUUCUUUACCUGACCAUUGCUAGUCUCACAACUUCUUGACAUUACGGAAUAGUUCAUAGCGUUAAGUAUAUAAAAUAAACAAAUAUAAUACAUCAGCAAUUGUUAUCUCAUUCGUAUUCGACGAAGAAAGAGAUACUUGGAACAUCGAUAAUUGGCCUAAUAAGGUCUUAUUCCAUUUACGGGAUCAAUUAAAGAAACACAACUAUAAUGGAGAUUUGGCAAGAAUCUUAACCAGGUUACUUGACGAUUAACGAGAAACUGGGAUAAAUCAUGGAAGAUGGAUGGUUUUGUAUGCCAUGGUGAAGUCAUACGAAAGAGGAACCUUCUUACAAACUGACAAUGAUACACCGGUACUCGGAACUGAUUCCACCGAAGCGAGAACAAUGCCCCUCUUGUUUGCUGGCGGUUAAAUAGACGCCGUUUCAGAAUUUUUGGCACGGCUCCCUCUACCUUCUUCUCAAUGGCAAACAGACUGUUUCGCAGUUUAUUAGGAGGUUGAGCAUGCGUGGCGAGGCAGUCAAUUUCACGAUGAAGAAACAGAAACGCGUAGGGAAUGAAAGAAAAAAUUAUCGCUGUGAACCAGCCUCGGCUCGGAGUUAAAAAUAUGGCCAAUUAAAGACCCACACAAAGCUGAAUGCAAGGGCCAACGUAUUCUGGCUUGACAAAUCCGAGAUGAAACAGGCUCGUCGACUUUCCCCAUUUGUUUCCUCUUGAAUGCGAAAUAUCUCUUUUUGAAAAUAUGGAAUAUUAACAAAAUUUGAAAUGAACAAAAUGAAGCCAAGAACGUUAUAAAAAUGGAUGGAAAAGUAGAUAUUUGUUAACACAAUAACCUACUACAGCUUAAUUUCUUCGCGUCUACACGCAUAGAAAACCAAAAGGAAACUUGCGGUUUCGUUUUUUCUCAAAGCACGUUAAUUUGAAUAUCGCUAGGGUUUUCGUUUUUAUACGGAAUAAAUUAUUCAAAAAAACGAAUUUUUCUACCUGGAUGUCCGGCGACCGAUUCUUUUUUUCAUUGGAGCACCACUUUUCGUUCGUGUUCCAGGCCUCCGCGCACACAAACAUGGAGGCAUGUGGGACGAUCAAGAUUUAAGGCCGGUUUCGAAGAUUUAAGAUCUAGUCGCGUUGCGUUACGAACAUUAUUUAUUUUUGCAAAAUGUUGCAGGACUUGACACGAACCACCGUGAAAAAAAAAAGAAAAGAAUACACGCAACGGUUGAAAGUUGAAAAACAAGUCCAUGGAAGAAGAUAAACUUCUACUUGGAAAAAGAAUAUGUCUCGUGAAUCGUCUUACUUCGACGUGUCUUUGAAUUCGUGGCAAUAUUGAAUUUUAAUUGAAGAACAUUGCCGGAAAGCAAGAAGUGGUUCGAUUAAAACUGGUAGAAUGUCAUAUUAGGAAUAACACGGGUUCAAAGGCAAAAAGAAUGUAAAAUAUACCUUCCAGCAUUUUCUUAUCUGAAUAACCACGAUCGAACAAGGAAAAUGUAAUCACGAUGGAGAGUCAUUAGACGAUGAGAAAUUUUCGAAAGUUUCAAUGGAAUCGUGCUCAAGCAGGAGACUUAUCAAAGGGGGAGACCUAUGGCGGCUGUCUGAUUCCUAGCCCUGCGAGUUUGAGGGUCAAUCGAUAACGAAUCUAAAUAUUGGCUUCGCCUUUUACUUUUAUCAACGUGCACAAUCCUUAAGUGCCAGGCCGAUCGUAGUUCUUCUUGUAUAUUAUGUAUACAGGAAAAAUCGUAAAACCAAGAUGAUGACGAAAAAUGAGGUCAUCGUUACAAGCAGUCACCCUCCUACGAGUAUUAUGAUGUAACAGAACUGGACACUUUAACAAUUUGCAACGGCGAAUAAAUAUCUGACGAACUUUUUUAAUUUA